rnacentral:rRNA from 1 species
UAGUGGCAAACGGGCGAGUAAUACAUAUUUAACCUACGUGUGUGAGGAGGAUAGCAUCCCGAAAGGGGUAUUAAUACUCCAUAGGUUUAUAGCGUUAAAUUAAAGGGCGCUCCCGAAAGGGGGCGCUGCGCAUACAUGGGAAUAUGUCCUAUUAGGUAGUUGGCGGGGUAAAUGCCCACCAAGCCUGUGAUGGGUAGCUGGGCUGAGAGGUUGUACAGCCGCAAUGGGAUUGAGAUAUGGCCCAUAUUCCUACGGGAAGCAGCAGUGAGGAAUUUUUCACAAUGGACGAAAGUCUGAUGGAGCAAUACCACGUGAACGAUGAAUGUCUUCUGAUUGUAAAGUUCUUUUAUUUAGGAUAAAAAGCAUGAUAGGAAAUGAUUAUGCCUUGAUAGUACUAAAUGAAUAAGUGACAGCUAACUAUGUGCCAGCAGCUGCGGUAACACAUAGGUCACGAGCAUUAUCCGGAUUUAUUGGGCGUAAAGGAAGCGUAGGCGGACAGUCUGAUCCAGUGUUAAAUGCAUCUGCUCAACAGAUGUAUGCAUUGGAGAUCACCUGUCUAGAAUUAGUUAGGGGGUACUGGAAUUCAAUGUGGAGCGGUGGAAUGCGUAGAUAUAUUGAGGAACACCAGAGGCUAAGGCGAGUACCUGGGACAUAAUUGACGCUGAGGCUUGAAAGCGUGGGGAGCAAAUGGGAUUAGAUACCCCAGUAGUCCACGCCGUAAACGAUGGGUAUUAGGUAUUUGGAGUUCUCUGAGUGCUGUAGCUAACGCGUUAAAUACCCCGCCUGGGUAGUAUAUAUGCAAAUA